rnacentral:rRNA from 1 species
UACGUAGGGGGCAAGCGUUGUCCGGAAUCAUUGGGCGUAAAGCGCGCGUAGGCGGCCAGAUAAGUCCGGUGUGAAAGUCACAGGCUCAACCUGUGAAUGCCGCUGGAAACUGUCUGGCUUGAGUCCGGAAGGGGCGAGUGGAAUUCCUGGUGUAGCGGUGAAAUGCGCAGAUAUCAGGAGGAACACCAAUGGCGAAAGCGGCUUCCUGGUCCAGCACCGACGUUCAGGCACGAAAGCGUGGGGAGCAAACGGG